UACGGGGGGGGCAAGCGUUGUUCGGAAUUACUGGGCGUAAAGGGCUCGUAGGCGGCCAACUAAGUCAGACGUGAAAUCCCCAGGCUCAACCUGGGAACUGCGUCCGAUACUGGAUGGCUUGAAUCCGGGAGAGGGAUGCAGAAUUCCAGGUGUAGCGGUGAAAUGCGUAGAUAUCGGCAGGAACACCCAGGGGGAAACCAGCCGCCUGGGCAAGCGCUGACGCUGAGGUGCGAGGGCGUGGGGAGCGAACCGG
rnacentral:rRNA from 1 species